AGAUUGAACGCUGGCGGCAGGCCUAACACAUGCAAGUCGAGCGGUAGAGAGGCGCUUGCACCUCUUGAGAGCGGCGGACGGGUGAGUAAUGCCUAGGAAUCUGCCUAGUGGUGGGGGAUAACGUUCGGAAACGGACGCUAAUACCGCAUACGUCCUACGGGAGAAAGCGGGGGACCUUCGGGCCUCGCGCCAUUAGAUGAGCCUAGGUCGGAUUAGCUAGUUGGUGAGGUAAUGGCUCACCAAGGCGACGAUCCGUAACUGGUCUGAGAGGAUGAUCAGUCACACUGGAACUGAGACACGGUCCAGACUCCUACGGGAGGCAGCGAGUGGGGGAAUA
rnacentral:rRNA from 1 species